ACGUAAGCUGGUUGAGUCAUACUGGUCGUUUCAGCACCUGUUCUAAUGGACCUCAGCUGUUGAACCAGGUGCAGAAGAGAUCAGUAAGUAAGCACAUGCUUACCAUUUUCUUCUUCACUGCACAUGUAAGAAGCAGAUGGAAGCUGCUGUCCCUUCAAAAAAGAGACAGCAAACUUUAUCUUUGAUGCUACAGGAGAGUCAAAGAACACAAUGCAAUGCUCAGCAAGCCAUCAAAGCAGCAGUAAAGCCUUCCCCUCCUUGCUCCUAAGCUCAAGUGUUAUCUCAACUACCCACCUGGAGAGGGCCUCAUGUCCCCAGGUACACCUGGGAACAUCUGUGUGGGGCAGCAAGGACUUCAUGUGUUCUAAUGAAACUCUGCCAACUUCUGUUAGG